rnacentral:lncRNA from 1 species
ACCACUAUAGCAAGCCCCAGAGGUGAUCAGUUUAUAAAGAGGAAAGGUUUCGCUGGCUCGUGGAUUCACAAAUUUCAGCCAUGUUCAGGUGGGAAGGCUGAAGGAUCACUGAAGGAGGAGAUGCUGAAGCCGUUCAAUUCACAGUGAGGGGACAAAAAGAAAGGAAGACAGGCUUAAGUGCUCACUUAUCCUCUUAAAUGGUGCACUUCCAGGGGCCCAAAGCCUCAUCGAAGGCCCCACUACUCAAAGGCUUCCCUGCCUCCCACCCGAGCCCUCCCAAAGACAGAAUAUUUAAUACUCAGAACUUUAUACCAAAACGUAAGAAGGAACUAGAGCUGACCAAGAGGAGCAGGAAGCACGGUUCACUGGAUCCACUGUGAAAUGGGCUAACGCGGAGAUAAGUCAGAAGGCCUCCUGGGAUCAACCAAGAAACAGGUAAAAGCAUCAGUGAGCAGCUGGACCUGUCACGUGACCACAGCACCCGGUGGAGACAAGUGGUGACAAUCAGUCACAUAGGGGCAGUGCCCCAAGCCCCUCCACAGGCAGUGAGGCAUCCCUAACAUCUUAGACCAAGCCAGUAGAAAGCAUCUGCUGUCAGACCCCAACCCACCGCAAAAUGUACGUAAGAACCUGUUCAGAAGGAGUAAAGUUGUGAGAAUUACUCCAUCAAGGGUUUUCUGAGAACUUCUGUCUUAUAGGAGCUGUAACACUUCCUGGGGAAGAGAAUUCUCUCUUCCCUUUGCUGCUGGAAGCUGUCCGGGCCAACCAACCACACUCACUGGUUCCUAGCCACACACCCUCCCCCAGGGCUGGCUGUUUUGCAGCAUCUCACAGCUUCCGACCUACUCCAGAGUUGCUUUGGCGGCUUGAGCUGACUGCAGUGCCUAGCUGAGUAACAGCAGCCACAGAAGAGAGCAGCAACUGCCUCAAUCCAACUUCCCUCUCCCUUCGGAGAGUGCAACUCCUUGACUGAUCCAGCUGGGCCAGAGCCUUCCCCCACCCCCAUCUCCGUGGUUAGCAUCCAGUAUACAGACUGGCAAAUAUAUAUAUUUAUCAAGUU